rnacentral:rRNA from 1 species
GACGAACGCUGGCGGCGUGCUUAACACAUGCAAGUCGAACGGAAAGGCCUCUUUCGGGGGGUACUCGAGUGGCGAACGGGUGAGUAACACGUGAGUAACCUGCCCUUGACUUUGGGAUAACUUCAGGAAACUGGGGCUAAUACCGGAUAGGAGCUCCUGCUGCAUGGUGGGGGUUGGAAAGUUUCGGCGGUUGGGGAUGGACUCGCGGCUUAUCAGCUUGUUGGUGGGGUAGUGGCUUACCAAGGCUUUGACGGGUAGCCGGCCUGAGAGGGUGACCGGCCACAUUGGGACUGAGAUACGGCCCAGACUCCUACGGGAGGCAGAAGUGGGGAAUAUUGCACAAUGGGUGGAAGCCUGGUGAAGCAACGCCGUGUGCGGGAUGACGGCCUUCGGGUUGAAAACCGCUUUCGCUCAUGACGAAGCUUUGUGUGACGGUAGUGGGUAAAGAAGCACCGGCUAACUACGUG